rnacentral:rRNA from 1 species
UACGUAGGGCGCAAGCGUUGUCCGGAAUCAUUGGGCGUAAAGAGCUCGUAGGCGGCCUGUUGCGUCCGCUGUGAAAUCCCGGGGCUUAACCCCGGGCGUGCAGUGGAUACGGGCUGGCUGGAGGCAGGCAGGGGAGAACGGAAUUCCCGGUGUAGCGGUGAAAUGCGCAGAUAUCGGGAGGAACACCGGUGGCGAAGGCGGUUCUCUGGACCAUUACUGACGCUGAUGCUCGAAAGCUAGGGGAGCAAACAGG